CGGAGCACCCCAGGAUCGAAGAGGGCGCACGGGCCCGGCCCUCCCACGCGCCCUCCAGGGACCCGGCAGCCAGACAGACGGACAGGCGGACCGCUAGGGAGCUCAAGUACCCGGACACACGCACGAGCGCAGAACAAAGGGCCGGACAUGCUCCAGCCCGCUCCGCCUGCGCCUCGGCCUUGCGCGCGGGGGCCCGGGUUACCUGCGCAGUUUUAAAAAUAUUUUCCAAGAUCCCUUCAGUGAACAUGGGAUGCUUCCAUAAUGAAGAGAGAGACACACCGUGAUGACCUCCACAUACCAUAUUUGAUGACAGUCUUCCUUGAGCCAGCUGUGAUGUAAAGAAGUUUGUGCUGCAUGAGAGAGAUAGCACCUGAAGAAAAUGAGGCCCUGGAGGAUGAGAGACUCUAAAGGAAAAGGGAAGGGCCUGCUGUCUUCCAGCCACGCCAGCCCCCAACUGAGAAGCUGGGCUGGAGUGCUGUGGCACAACCAUAGCUCACUGCAGCCUCCACCUCCCUGGUUCAAGCGAUCUUCCCACCUCAGCCUCCCGAGUAGUUGAGACCACAGUGCCCUUGGUGUGGUGGAAGCAAGGUGCCAUGUGAUAAGUAAGCCUCCAGAGAGGCCUGCAUGGCAGGAUCCAAUGUCUUUAGCCAACAGCAUCUGGGAACCUGAGACCUGCCAACACCCUUGUGAGUGAGCCUGGAAGUGGACCUCCUGCUCUUGAACCUUGAGGUGACUAUAGUGCUGGCUGACACCUUGACUGCAGUCCCUGAGCUGGGGGGCCCAGCUGAUCUACUCCCAGAAUCCCCCCUACUAAAACAGUGAUAUAAUAAAUGCUUAUUGUUUCAAGCUGGUA
rnacentral:lncRNA from 1 species